GGGGUUGGGCCCGGCCCUUGUUGUCUGUCGCUGCGGGCCCUCUUCCGGGCUAGGCCGUCCCUGCCCGCCCCCGCCCCGCCUCCCUUCGGACCCCUGGGUUCCAGGCCAGGCUCCCUGACUGAUUCGCGCCCCCGCCCUCCGCAGCCCGCUGCCGUCCCGAUCCGCACUGCGGCCCCGCCGCCGCCACCAUGUCCCUGCACGGCAAACGGAAGGAGAUCUACAAGUAUGAAGCGCCCUGGACCGUCUACGCCAUGAACUGGAGCGUGCGGCCCGACAAGCGCUUUCGCCUGGCGCUGGGCAGCUUCGUGGAGGAGUACAACAACAAGGUCCAGCUUGUUGGUUUAGAUGAAGAGAGUUCGGAGUUUAUUUGCCGGAACACCUUCGACCAUCCGUACCCCACCACAAAGCUCAUGUGGAUCCCUGACACAAAAGGCGUCUAUCCAGACCUGCUGGCGACGAGCGGCGACUAUCUCCGCGUGUGGAGGGUUGGUGAAACAGAGACCAGACUGGAAUGUUUGCUCAACAAUAACAAGAACUCGGAUUUCUGUGCUCCUCUGACCUCCUUUGACUGGAACGAGGUGGACCCUUAUCUUUUAGGUACCUCCAGCAUUGACACGACGUGUACCAUAUGGGGGCUGGAGACCGGGCAGGUGUUGGGGCGAGUGAAUCUUGUGUCCGGCCAUGUGAAGACCCAGCUGAUUGCCCAUGACAAAGAGGUCUAUGAUAUUGCAUUUAGCCGGGCCGGGGGUGGCAGGGACAUGUUUGCCUCUGUGGGUGCUGAUGGCUCGGUGCGGAUGUUUGACCUCCGUCAUCUAGAACACAGCACCAUCAUUUACGAAGACCCACAGCAUCACCCACUGCUUCGCCUCUGCUGGAACAAGCAGGACCCCAACUACCUAGCCACCAUGGCCAUGGACGGAAUGGAGGUAGUGAUUCUGGACGUUCGAGUUCCCUGCACGCCUGUCGCCAGGUUAAACAACCACCGAGCAUGUGUCAAUGGCAUUGCUUGGGCCCCACAUUCAUCCUGCCACAUCUGUACUGCAGCGGAUGACCAUCAGGCUCUCAUCUGGGACAUCCAGCAAAUGCCCCGGGCCAUCGAGGACCCUAUCCUGGCCUACACAGCCGAGGGAGAGAUCAACAACGUGCAGUGGGCGUCGACUCAGCCCGACUGGAUUGCCAUCUGCUACAACAACUGCCUGGAGAUACUCAGAGUGUAGUGUCGGUGGCGCCGUGCCCACGAGGCAGGGGCUUGUGUGUUUCCCGCCUCUGUCCCACCCCCAAAACUCCCAGCCUUGUCACCCUCCUUAGGCCCUGCAGUGUGGUCUGGUCCUCUUCCUUUCAACAUCCCACCUGGGCCCAGGUGAGACUACCCAGUCCCCCCAAGCAGACACAGACACACAGUAGCUGGCAUGCUGGGAUUGUGAAGUCCCGGCUCCCUCACCCUCCCUUUAUGCCAUGGGCCAGAUGGCCUUAUGGCUGAGGAGGGGAUUUCUGUAGUCUCAGGAUUUAGAAAGCCUCUUAGUCAGCCACGCUACAGGAAGCAGAGAUCUGUUGUAGUUUCAAAAGCAAGUGUUUGUUUAGUUUGUUUAGGUUCUCAGAUGGCCAGCCAGCGAGAAUAGGUUGGGAGGCUCUGCCUCUGCUCUCCUUGAACAUGAGAAGAGCCACUGCCGGGACGGCACUGGAAAGGGUGCCGCAGCACCUCUGGGCUCUGGCUCUCUGGGCGGUGGCCCAUUGACAUGCUCCUGGCCCCCUGAACCGCAGCCGCCUUUGUUUUCCUUGUCUGCUCUGAGGGGAGGGGGGUGCUGAAUAAAUGAGGCCUCAGGUUCCCCAUCAGAGAGCUGGUGAAUGGAUCCAAGUCCUUCAAGAGCUUGAGUUGUUUACACCCAGGGGAGUCAGAAGCCUCUCUUUCCAGGGAGGAACCAGGCUGAAAGAUGAGGACUUGAAGAGGGAAGAUAUUUGAUAACCAGGUGAGAAUUUCUUAUCAGAACCAGGAUCGGCUCUCAGAGAACUGGUUAAGAAACAGAAAACAUGAAGACUCCAACAAGUUUUUGAUGACAGGUGUGGCUGAAAUUUUAGGAGGAGAUUUAGGAUGUGGGAGAAAAGCAGUGGUAACAAAGGAGAAAAUAUUAGAGGGCAGUAAAGGUCUGAGCUGGGGAAGCAUUCAGACUGUCUGUCAUGUGGCCGUGGAGUGAGACCUUGCUCUCGGCCUGUGCCAGCCUUCCUGGACUGUUCAUCAGGUGCCUGUGAUGCGGGGUAACUGGGGACAGGGUGACAGGGGGACCCCUUCCUGCUGCAGUUCAGCCCUAGUGUCAUUUGGUGGUAGAAACUUGCAGGAGUGGGAGUCCCUCGAUCAUUCCAGACCAUGGUUCUUCUUGGUUGUAGGUUUGUAGAGAGCAGAAGCAGAGGUUGUAAACAGUCAUGCUGACUUUCCCCCCUCCCUUUUCUCUUUUCUCUUUUCUCUUCCUCUUUACCUUCCCACUCCCUUUCCACUGUAGAACUUUGUCCCUGCUGCAACCUGGGCCUUGAAUUCCUAGGCUAUAAGGUGUGCAGGAGCUGCAGGGUCUACCAACCAUGGGAGGCCAGCCUAGUAACUUCCCUCCACCGUCCCCAGCUCCUUUGACUGCCUGACUUGGGAGAAGGGAGACCAUUAAAGUAGAAGCCCCAAAGCAGCCUCUCCCCUUUCCUGUCUGUGCUCCAGGAUGAGGAGGGAGGGUCAUGCUUGGCACUGAAGUUGGGUUUUCCCUGGGAGGAAAGCUGAGCUGAGCAGUCACUGUGAACCCUGGGCCAGGCUCUCCAAGAAUUGCCAUCCCUGCACUGGCUCGGCCAGCUACUCAGUGUUGCAGAGCCUCGGCCUCUCUUCCCACCGUUGUCAUUGCUGCUGGUGGUCAAAGUCAAAUGUGUGGCCACAUGGGGUGGGCCAGCUCCUCUCAGCCUACUUCCUGGAUGUGAUUUUUUAAGUAUAGAAACAUGCAGGUGCCUUCCCAAGAGGCUUGGACUGGUGUAUCAAGCCAGAAACAGAUCAGCUAAUCAAAGUAUAAACUCAAGAGGAAGGAGGAUGCUGGCAGUCUGUGUAAGAGCUGGAAAACUUACAAGUACUGGCCUUUGGGAAAACCCAGUGAAUAAGAACGUGUGAUACCUGCUAUUUAAAAGAAUGUUCUCACCUUGGGUUGAUUGUGGUAAUACAGUGUGUUAUGAAACUUGUGGAGCUAAAGCUUUGACUUGCUUGAGUCGAAUAUGGAUCAUUUGAUGUGGUUCCUGUGUAUUUGAUGACCCCUCUGUCAGUGACUUUCCAUCCUUCCUCCCCCGAGCGUGAAUUUGUAGCAUGAUUGUACAAAUCUCUAUGUAGAGAAAAUGGAGAUUCCUUGUUCUCUGAAAUGUUAAGCGCUAGCCAAUCCAUUUCUGUCCCCUUUAGCCUAGUGUGUCUGAACUUAAUUUCCUGUUAUAUAUUUAAAGUUUUCCUCUACAUUAUAGGUUUUGUGGCAUCCCAUGGUCAGGUGGAGAGGAAGCUGCCCCUUGCAGAACUGUACUGUAACCAUUUUUUUAAAAAAAACAUUAUUUUCACAGGAUUGAUUAUACACAGGGCUUGUAAAAAAAUUUUUAACACUGUGCUGUGAAACCAUGAUGGUAAAUCUCCAUUGAAGGCUACUUCAAAGGUACCUGAAAGUGGAGUGUUAUAUCUAUGAUUUUAUUUUUGCUUCCUGAGUAUAUUAAACCUAAUUUUCACCCUUUCAUUCUGUUUCAGCCUCCUGUAUAAGAAGUACCGUAUUUUCUGCCCAUCAUACUUUGUAAUAAAACUUGAACAUGUAUAGAUUGACUGAA